UGUCAUGUUUAAAAAUUUUAUAGCUUACAAUUUUUAAAUAUUUAUUGCUAAUGGAAAACUUUACCAAUCAAGAAUUGGCGGAUAUGCAUUUGGCAUACGGAGCAACAAACUGCAAUGCACAAGCAGCAUCGCGGUUGUAUCAUGAACGUUAUCCCAAACGACAGCAUCCUGGAUACAAAAAGUUUAUUGCGGUUCAUCGGCGGCUCGCUGAGACAGGCAUGUUUAAGACCAAGAUGCAUGAUACUGGUGAUGCUCGAACCGUAAGAACGGUCAAAUUUGAAGAAGACGUGCCUCAGCGAGUUGCCGAUGUACCAUCAAAUAGCACACGUGACGUCGCUAAGAAUAUGAAUACGAGUAACGCUUCUGUCUGGCGGGUACUACACGAGCAACAACUCCAUCCUUACCACUUCCAGAAAGUUCAAGGUAUGACUGCAGCCGAUUAUCAUCCUAGAGUUCAAUAUUGUCGAUGGCUUCUGGAUCACAUCAUUGCACAACCAAAUUUUUGUGGACCGAUGAAGCCUCUUUUACAUGAGACGGUAUUUUUAAUAGUAGGAAUAGCCAUGUUUGGAACGAAGAAAAUCCUUAUGCAAUUUUUCCAAAAAAACAUCUGAAUCGUUGGUCUAUCAACGUAUGGGCGGGCAUUGUUGAUGAUUAUUUAAUUGGGCCAUACCUUCUACCGGAAUGGUAGAACAGGACCUAUUUAUCUGCGUUUCUUGGAGGAAGUUCUCCCAGAACUCCUUGGAAAUGUUCCACUAAACGUUAAACAGCAAAUGUGGUUUCAGCAUGAUGGAGCGCCGGCUCACUUUGCUGUACAAGUACGCGAGUAUUUGGCUCAGCGGUUUGGGCACCGUUGGAUUGCCAGAGGUGGAGCAGUUUCUUGGCCUCCUAGGUCACCCGAUCAUUCAUUCAAAACGAGGAUCAAAUUUUUAGUGUAGUCCGCCGAAAUCAUGUGCGGCAUUUAAAUCGGUGUAUUGAGGUUGGAGGAAGACAUUUUAAACAAUUGUUGUGAUGGUAUCAUAUACAAAAGGGCCGUAGUGGCGUAGUGACACAUUUCCGGACAUGGGUCCCUAUACUCAAAUGGAUUGUACUGUUGCACUGAACAACCCCUAGAAGUUUGAUCCCAUAGUUCUGAAAUACCCUGUAUAUGUAAUUUUUUUAUUAAGAGAUAUUUAAAAAAAAAAUUUCGUAAAAACCAAAUAUCAUAUUCUAUUAAUAAAUGGACUUCACUUAUAGAGGUAUGGAUAAAAAGCAUUUUGGGUUUUAUGGUAUAUGUGUAAUCUCAUUAUUAAAGAUCAGUUACUGUA